rnacentral:rRNA from 1 species
AGAGUUUGAUCCUGGCUCAGGACUAACGCUGGCGGCAUGCAUAAUACAUGCAAGUCGAACGGGGUUUACGGAAGCUUGCUUCUGUAAACUUAGUGGCGCACGGGUGAGUAACGCGUAGAUAAUCUACCCAGGAGUCCGGGAUAACGGGUCGAAAGGUCCGCUAAUACCGGAUAUUAUCCUUCUGUCGCAUGUUAGGGGGAUGAAAGGAAUGCCUCUGUUUCAAGCAUUCGCUCCCGGAUGGGUCUGCGUGCUAUUAGCUUGUUGGUGGGGUAACGGCCUACCAAGGCGAUGAUGGCUAGCCGGCUUGAGAGAGUGACCGGCCACACUGGAACUGAGACACGGUCCAGACUCCUACGGGAGGCAGCAGUAGGGAAUCUUCCGCAAUGGGCGAAAGCCUGACGGAGCAAUGCCGCGUGAGGGAUGAAGGCCUUCGGGUCGUAAACCUCUGUUGUUAGGGAAGAAAUGCGGGCGGUCCAAUAGGCCGUUCGUUUGACGGUACCUGACGAGGAAGCCCCGGCUAAUACGUGCCAGCAGCCGCGGUAACACGUAAGGGGCAAGCGUUGUCCGGAUUUACUGGGCGUAAAGGGCGCGUAGGCGGUUUGGUAAGUCAGGGGUGAAAGCUCUGGGCUCAACUUGGAGACUGCCCUUGAAACUGCCAGACUUGAGUGCUUCAGGGGAAAACGGAAUUCCUGGUGUAGCGGUGAAAUGCGUAGAUAUCGGGGAGAACACCCGUGGCGAAGGCGGUUUUCUGGGAAGCAACUGACGCUGAGGCGCGAAAGCUAGGGGAGCGAACAGGAUUAGAUACCCUGGUAGUCCUAGCUGUAAACGAUGAGUACUAGGUGUCGGGGGUAACCCCCUCGGUGCCGGCGCAAACGCAUUAAGUACUCCGCCUGGGGACUACGGCCGCAAGGUUGAAACUCAAAGGAAUUGACGGGGGCCCGCACAAGCGGUGGAGCAUGUGGUUUAAUUCGAUGCAACGCGAAGAACCUUACCUGGCCUUGACAUCCCUGGCUACCCUGUGAAAGCAGGGGUUCCCCGCGAGGGGACUGGGUGACAGGUGGUGCAUGGCUGUCGUCAGCUCGUGUCGUGAGAUGUUGGGUUAAGUCCCGCAACGAGCGCAACCCUUGCCGUUAGUUACCAGCAUUUAGUUGGGGACUCUAACGGGACUGUCGGUAACAAGCCGGAGGAAGGUGGGGAUGACGUCAAGUCAUCAUGCCCCUUACGGCCAGGGCUACACACGUGCUACAAUGGUCGGUACAAAAAGUUGCAAUGCGGUAACGCGGAGCCAACCUCUAAAGCCGGCCCAAGUUCGGAUUGAGGGCUGAAACUCGCCCUCAUGAAGUCGGAAUCGCUAGUAAUCGUGGAUCAGCAUGCCACGGUGAAUACGUUCCCGGGCCUUGUACACACCGCCCGUCACACCACCCGAGUUGGGUGCACCCGAAGUCGCUGAUCCAACCUCUUCGGAGGAGGAAGGUGCCGAAGGUGUGCUUGGUAAGGGGGGUGAAGUCGUAACAAGGUA